rnacentral:rRNA from 1 species
AUACGUAGGUCCCGAGCGUUGUCCGGAUUUAUUGGGCGUAAAGCGAGCGCAGGCGGUUUAAUAAGUCUGAAGUUAAAGGCAGUGGCUUAACCAUUGUUCGCUUUGGAAACUGUUAGACUUGAGUGCAGAAGGGGAGAGUGGAAUUCCAUGUGUAGCGGUGAAAUGCGUAGAUAUAUGGAGGAACACCGGUGGCGAAAGCGGCUCUCUGGUCUGUAACUGACGCUGAGGCUCGAAAGCGUGGGGAGCAAACAGGAUUAGAUACCCUGGUAGUCCACGCCGUAAACGAUGAGUGCUAGGUGUUAGGCCCUUUCCGGGGCUUAGUGCCGCAGCUAACGCAUUAAGCACUCCGCCUGGGGAGUACGGCCGCAAGGUUGAAACUUAAAUGAAUUGGCGGGG